CUGGCCGCUGGCCGCAUCUUGCUCCUCUUUGCACCUCUUCUUCUCACGUGCACGGUGAACCCCUGUCCGUGGAUAGCUCCACCAUAGUCUAUAUCACGUCGUCGUGCUGCCGGAAUUUCGUCAACCUCCUUCCUCGUCUUGCUAGAUUUAGAAGGAUAAAACGACAUCAAACCGUACGUGUAGGAUACAGAGGACGUGUCGUCUGUUCGGCACGAGAUUGAUCUAUACAAAAGUUCAACUACAACAACCAUGAUCUUGAGUUUAUAAUCCUCUUGUUACUAGCAUCCAGUAGAUUUGAUCUUGGGUUUCUACGAGAAGUGCGGAAAAAAAUCCAAGAUCAAAUCUACUGGAUGCUAGUAACGAUCAGAUUAUGAACUUCAUACCUUUGACGAUCUCAAGAUCGUGGUUGGUGUAGGCGUACUUUCGUUCAGAUCAAUCUCUGUGCCGAACGGAUCGCAUCUCGUCGGUAUCCACACAUAUGACUUGAUGUCAUCUCCUCCUUGAUCCAGCAAAACGUACAAAAAUAAGAGGUUGACGGGAUCCCGACAACACGACGGUGGGCAGGGCUUCAUCGUACGCGCAAGAAGAGGAGGCGGGGAAAGGAGCAGGGUGGGGGCAGCCCCUGGUUCUCAUGCCAUCCUAUCCUCCACUGGCGGGACGCCUCCACUGCGGGCCUGACCGUAGGGUAAGGCAGAAGGGCCAUCAAUUUACCCGUCUCCGGUUCUUGUACGCGUCUCAACUUAGUUGAAUGCUCGAAUCAUUUGAUAACAGAAGCCUGGACAAUACAAGAUCUUUUUUUUGGAGGGACAGGACAUACGGUUGAAAAGCGAGAAGACUAAUAUUACAACAGAACUUAUUCGCAUUUGUCUCUUGAUCAUGAAAUUUUGAAUAUAACUUACCACGUUUAGCAAGCAAAGUAAUAUGUUUUGUAACUUAUUUUCCACGCAACUUAAAGAAAGCAAAACAGGGUAGCAAACGCAAAUUGCAAACCCGCAAUGUAGACUCUUGCGGGGAACCUCGUUGGUUUCCUAUGUUUAUUAGAUGCAACAAACACUCAAUGGUACGAUCCAUACUGACGGGUGCUGACCCAAUUGAUACUAAUCUUUCA